CACAGGAUGGCACAGGAUGGCACAGGAUGGCACAGGACAGGAUGGCACAGGACAGGAUGGCACAGCACGGCACAGGAUGGCACGGCACACUUCCCCAGUGCUGGAAAUGCCCCGUGCCCAUGUGCCCCACUGCCUGCAGUGCCCCACUGCCUCCCCCUUUCCAUUCGAAAGCGAUGGGUGGGGGAACAAGGGGGAAAAGGAAGCGGCAGCAACAACCAGCGAGUGAAACAUCGGCGGCAGCUGCCGGAACCAAAGCGAGACCAUCACCUCCCAAAAGGGGCUGCGAUGGGGGCACGGCCCCAGCCUGGAGUUGGGAUGGAGCUUUUUACACCUCUGCUUAAAUCUGCCUCAUCCAGCGCAGGGAAAUGGGGAUGCAGGAGCAAAGGCAGGAGCCGGGAAUGGGAAUGGGAAGGAGAGCCAUGGCCAAGCCAGGGAGAUGGUGGGAGCUGCCGAGAGUUCACAGGGAACACAAAGACAAAUUCUUUAAGAAAAAAAAAAAAAGGGAAAAAAAAAAAAGAAAUCAAAGGGAUGUGGAGAGGGAGAUAAGAGGGAAGACAGAGCAGGGAGACGGAGGGAGCGGAGAGGACGCGGGCAGAGGGAGGCAGGCGGCGCGGGGAGGCGAAGCGGGAGCCGGGGGAGCUGUCUGGCGCGUCCCUAUCGCCUCUCUCCAUCGCGGGAGCCCAACCUCAAGUAGUUUUUCACUGAGAUUGGAGUGAUCAGGUAGGGCUGCCCUCGGCGGCAGCUGCGGGGCUGUGAAUAAGCACCUGCUUAUCUCUGGCCAGCGGCUGUGCGCGGCUGCAGAUUGCGGGGGGACGGGAGCUGGCUGCCGGCUGCGAUUUCCAUAUCAGCGCCCUGCAGCCGCCUGCGCCAAAUAAACACAACAGCCCCACGGACAAAAGCCCUGGCUGGCAGAGGCCAGACUGGAAGAAGGCACAUCCUCCUCCUCCUCCUGGGCAUGCAAAGCUCUGCUGGCUCCACUUCUCACAGCCACAUUUGUGUAUUCAACAGCUUUCUCCUCUUAUCAAAGAAACCAUGAGCGACUCACAGCUCGGCUGGGCCACGGGGCCCAGGGAGAGACAGGAGGAGGUGCCCCGAUGGCCCCGGGGGAAGGAAGGAAAGGCUGGCUGGUGGCAUCGCCCUGCUUGUAGCUCAGACCCCGUGAAACCACCAGGGAUCCUCACGGGCUGCUCAUCCCUGUGCUGGGAGUCAGGGCUUGUCCCUCUCACCUGACACUCAGGAGUUGUUGAAUAUGGCAGGGGGUGCUGGUGUCACCCACCCUUUCCCCCACGUUCUCUCGGGGCUGCAGAGCUGCUCUCCUGCUGCAGCCAUCCCUGCUCCGGGAUGGUUUUUCCAUCCUGCACGUCCCACUCUCAGCACAUCCUGGCCAAGGGGCGCUGCCCCGAGUGUGCCCGUGAUGCUCCCACGAGGUCACACAGAACCCAAAGGAGCCUCACAGGGCAGCAGCCACGCGGCCGGGAAGCCUCGAGCCCACACGGCACCAGAUUUAGCCACAGCCACGCUCCUAAAAAUAGCCGGGAUCUGGGAGUGCAGAGCUGCAUCUGCUGCCACAGGAGCAGGCACGGAGCUCCAGCCCUCAUCCCACGGGACUGGGGUGAACAGGACCGGGGUGCACAGGACUGGGGUGAACAGGGCUGGGGUGCACAGGGCUGGGGUAAACAGGACUGGGGUGAACAGAGCUGGGGUACACAGGGCUGGGGUGCACAGGGCUGGGGUGCACAGGGCUGGGGUACACAGGGCUGGGGUACACAGUGCUGGGGUGCACAGUGCUGGGGUGCACAGGACUAGCCCCAGCACAAUUUGGCUCAAGGAGAGUUUGGAGGUACCAGCCUGGGAGGAUCCAGCCAUGCCUGUGCCAGCCUGAUGCCAGGGACAGGAGGACACCAGGAUGGAGACGAGAUGCUCUUGGUGCUGGGAUGCUCCUAAUCCACUGGGGAAUUGGAUGUGCAGCUGUGGAUAAGAAUAAUGAGAGUUGA